AUUGAACGCUGGCGGCAGGCCUAACACAUGCAAGUCGAGCGGAUGAAGGGAGCUUGCUCCUGGAUUCAGCGGCGGACGGGUGAGUAAUGCCUAGGAAUCUGCCUGGUAGUGGGGGAUAACGUCCGGAAACGGGCGCUAAUACCGCAUACGUCCUGAGGGAGAAAGUGGGGGAUCUUCGGACCUCACGCUAUCAGAUGAGCCUAGGUCGGAUUAGCUGGUUGGGGGGGUAAAGGCCUACCAAGGCGACGAUCCGUAACUGGUCUGAGAGGAUGAUCGGUCACACGGGAACUGAGACACGGUCCAGACUCCUACGGGAGGCAGCAGUGGGGAAUAUUGGACAAUGGGCGAAAGCCUGAUCCAGCCAUGCCGCGUGUGUGAAGAAGGUCUUCGGAUUGUAAAGCACUUUAAGUUGGGAGGAAGGGCAGUAAGUUAAUACCUUGCUGUUUUGACGUUACCAACAGAAUAAGCACCGGCUAACUUCGUG
rnacentral:rRNA from 1 species